AUAGGUAUAGCUCAUUGGUAGAGUACAUGCUUACUUAGUAUGCUCAAGGUCCUGGGUUCAAUCCCCAGUACCUCCA
rnacentral:tRNA from 1 species